UGUAAAGAAGGGGUUUUUGAAAACCCUAACAAUGGCGGAGGACCCCCGAGCUUGGAUCCAUGGCGACGAGGCCGCGAGAGAGGCGCUGGCUAGGGUUCUCUCCGCUCGCCCCUUCCUCCUCCUCCCUCCCCUCCACCGCGUCCCCCUCCGCGUCGGCAAUGUCGUCGAGAUCGCCGGCGCCUCCAACUCCGCCAAGUCCCAAGUCCUCCUCCAGGCUGCUGUUCACUGCAUUUUGCCCAAAGAGUGGAGGGGAAUCCAUUUCGGGGGGUUGGAGCGGGUUGUGGCCUACUUUGAUCUCGAUUGCCGCUUCGAUGUGCUUCGGCUAUCGCAGAUUUUGAGGCAUAGGAUUAUGGAACAUUUUGGUUCAACUCAUCAUACUGAUUGGCAAAUGAAUGAAGGUUGUCAGAAGAAUGACACCAAGGUUGCAUGGACUUGUGAAUUUGAUGAAGAACUACUUCUUUCUUGCAUGAGGCGUUUCCUGUAUAUUCGUUGUUAUAGCAGCUCUGAUUUUUUGGCUGCUCUCAAGACAUUGCAUGGCCAGUCUGAGAGGAAGAGUGAUGCUCUUGGUAGUGGUAUCUAUUUCCUUAUGAUAGACAGCAUUGGUGCAUUCUAUUGGAUAGAUCGAACUUGUCAACCCCUACCACUCGGAGACAAUAAAAGGAAGAACUUAUCGCCUCAAACUUUGGCAGAAUCCAUUGUCCAAGAGAUCCGUAAGCUCUUAGAGCUGCAACCUAUGUUGGUACUAGCGUCAAAAACAACACUUUUUGGAGCUGGAAGCUUAACAAAUGCCACACAAAGGACUUCUGGAAAGUGGCAUUCGGUAGAAGCCACAGAUUUCAGAACUUCAAAUUGGGACGGCAGAAGAAACCUCCCAUUUCAUGAAUACAUGCCUUUGGUGUGGCAGUCAUUUGUUACACACAGGGUACAAUUGCAAGUUUCAGAGGGAUUUACUUCUGAGGUGGAAAAUAAACAACUUUCAGUAUAUAUAUCUGAAUGGGUGCAGCCUCCACUAAAUAUAAAGGACAAAUUUACUGUGAGGGAUGAUGGUAUUGUUGUGAUACCAUGAAUCUAUUCUAGAAGCUGUGAUUAAAUGCAAUGAUUUGCUUCCAGAUUUUUCAAUUGGCCAGUUUCUUGAUUUGGCAGUGGGAGGGAUGCGAGACAAAGUUAAAUUGAAGUUCUGUGACAAUUUAGACUCUUUAGAACUUCAUUUUGGGGAAGUAUUGUUCGGUUAUAACUUAUGCGGUAUAGAAAUAUCUUUUUCGUGAUUGCUACCUUAGAGUUUUAGUUCAAUGCAAGAUCCUCAUAAUCAUGAUUUUUUAAAGGAUUAAUGUAUUAUGCCUAUUAGAUGAUUUCAUAAGACAUUGUAUAUCACUAGGUUGUGGGCAUCUUUCAUUCUUUGUAUCAACCGAUUGUUUUAUGUCUGGUGAGUAAUCAAAAGAGAGAUGCUGAACGAGAUUCUUUGUGUUUCCAAAUAGUCUAACAUCCUGCAUUACUGUAUAUAUCAAAAUUCUAAAUAUCUAUGAGCAUUUAGGUGAUUUAAGAAACUACAAUAGUAAUAGUUGAACAUAGAUCUAUUAGCUAUGAUAGGAAGAAGCUGGGUUAGGGACAUUCCAGAAACAUUGAGGAUGGGAAUUAGAGGUUUCAAUUGGAAACGGUCACCGUAAGUUCAUCGCGUUGACACUCCUACUUAAGAGAAAGAAUAGGAGAUACUGAUGAUGAUAGUGAUGGUAGUACUAAUGAGGUAGGCAGAGAGGAGAGUUUUCUGUUAUUAAUGCAUAAACUAUGUUUGAUAUUCAAAGAAUAUUCCAUGAUCUGCAUACAAUAGAGAACUUGUGGUAUGUAGCAUGCUGUUUCCAAAACAUUAAUAAGAAUGAUCACCCAACAGUACACAGAUCUCUUUAAAUGUUUAGGAAAUUGUGUUUGACUAUCUUUCUCUUUAUUAGUAUUCUCUUUUUCAAGUCAAAGCUUCAAUCAGCAUCACACUCUUUAUGAAGAGUUGUUUGAUUAAGGUGACAUUAUCGACAAGUUCAUGUAGGUAAAGUUGAUUCUAAACUAGGAGAAUUUAAGAGCUUACUCUAUGUUUAUGAAUCAAAUAAGUUAAUGGUUAAGAGUAGUCCCUUGUUGAAUUAAAAAUUUCAUGUCAAGUUUAGGAGAAAACCAGGAGAAUUUAGUUUUGUUCAAUAAAUUUGGGAGAAUUUAGUUUGUUCUAUAUUUUAUGAAUCCAACAAAUUAAUGGUUUUGAAUAUAAGUUUUUCAUAGUCCUCCAUUAUUUCAACUUUGUUACCUUCUGACUGUAGUCAAAUAUGGCAGCUUUUGCAGUCACUAGUGAUAAUGACACUUCUAAUUGCCUUUGACUUGUGCCAUGAUUAUAAUUUUCUGGUUUCAUACCUCAUUAGCAUAUUAGUAUUUCCCCCACUCAUUUUGGAUCAUGUGUUUAGUUAAUCAAAACCCUAGCUUUUGUCUAUUAUGUUAAAAUAAUUUUAUGGAGGUGGCUAAUUAUAAGCUUUCAUGUAUUUUUAUUGUGCAUUUCUUCUCAUUUUUUGGCGUGAAAUUUAAUUCAAAACUUUGCAGAAGCAGUGUCUCACCAAACGUACACUAGAAGUUUUAUUUUAAACUCAAAAUUUGCUUGGACUUUCUAAAAGAUGCAAAAGCACAAUCUCUAAAUAAAAGUUUAAUUUGUUUGAUAUAUAUAUAUAUCAAACAAAUUAAUAGCUAGUGACAAUACUUUGAGUUCUUCUGUUGAUUCAAUCACAAAAAAGAAUUCUUAAACAGAGAAAUAAGGAGAAAAAAAACAAAAAAAUGCACUUAAUUUUUAUUUAUUUAUUUAUUUUUUGAGAUCGACUCUUGAGCAUUUAUUG